rnacentral:rRNA from 1 species
GACGAACGCUGGCGGCGUGCUUAACACAUGCAAGUCGAACGGAAAGGCCCUGCUUUUGUUGGGUGCUCGAGUGGCGAACGGGUGAGUAACACGUGAGUAACCUGCCCUUGACUUUGGGAUAACUUCAGGAAACUGGGGCUAAUACCGGAUAGGAGCUCCUGCUGCAUGGUGGGGGUUGGAAAGGUUCGGCGGUUGGGGAUGGACUCGCGGCUUAUCAGCUUGUUGGUGGGGUAGUGGCUUACCAAGGCUUUGACGGGUAGCCGGCCUGAGAGGGUGACCGGGCACAGUGGGACUGAGAUACGGCCCAGACUCCUACGGGAGGCAGCAGUGGAGAAUAUUGCACAAUGGGCGGAAGCCUGAUGCAGCAACGCCGCGUGCGGGAUGACUGCCUUCGGGUUGUAAACCGCUUUCGCCUGUAACGAAGCGUGAGUGACGGUAAUUGGUAAGAAAGCACCGGCUAACUACGUG